AUGAGAAUCCUGACUUUGGAGGUGUUUCCCAUCUCCAUUAGAAGAAGAAUCAAAAUUAUCAUCCAGCUUCUAUCGGCAGCAGACUGUGAACUUAAUAGGAAAUAUCAGAAACCAAAUCCUGAGGCUCUCUGGGAUCUUGGAAACCUGAUUAUUUCUUUUGGAAAUAAUUCCCCUGCCGCUCUGCCUCCGCAGACCUCCAAAUCCUGGCAGAAGGAACGAGGCUCCCGAGGAGUGCACAGCCUGGACAGACGAACCAGGGCCGCAGAGCCACCGCUGGCAAGACACGGUCACACCUGCAGAGCAAAAGCCUCGUCUUUCUCAUCUAUUUUUACUUCUCAGGAGACCCUGGUCCCUCGAGAACUGUUUUCACCUCCUCGGCUCUGCAUACGUGUUUUGCACAUGAUAUGAAAUAGUAACCUUUUGAGUUUCCCACAUCCUGGUAUGCUCUGGACCCACUGGCCACAUUUUUAUACACACACACACCCCACACCCCAGUCUAUGCUAGCUGACUGGCUGGCAAAAGAUAAUAACGUUUAGUGGAGGUCUCUCUCCUUUUUUUUUUUUUUUU
rnacentral:lncRNA from 1 species